AAACUCCCUGUGGUGUCUGAGGAAUGCUGCCCACGUCUUCAGUCUCUGCAAGUUCUCUCCACCCUCUUUCUCUGGGGGAUGGCCCCCUCCCCAGGCACGGUCUUCAGGGAACAGGAACCCCUCGGGUCUCAGAGCAAGCUCAUGCGCUCUCCUACGAUUCGACUCGCCCCCCGGAUGCCCAGGGCUUCGGAGUGCGUACGACUGACGUCACCCUGCCCCUGACUCCACGCUGCUUUCUCUAACUGUCUGCUGGACGCACCUCUCAGGAUGUCCGAAGGCUUCUCAAAACCGACACGUCCAAAAGGGAGCCCGGUAUCCUCCAACAAAACCCUCCCCCUCCUCUUACCUUCCUUUCAUCCCCUCAGAAAACCUCUGCCCAUCUCAUCCCCCGACAGCAGAGCGAGAGGCCUCAGGGCCACGCUUGAGCUCUCUGUCUCACCCACUUCGCAGCCUACCGACUCCCAAAGGGAGCCGAGCGCCUUCCCGUGUUUGCCGUCCCCGCUGCUCUGCCGCAUGCCUUCCUGUCUCUUGCACGCAACCAGCCCAGUAGACUCCUUACUGAUCUUGCCGGCUGGCCUCCUGGCACACCACCCCCCCCCCCCCACCUCCCCGCUUGAACCCAUCCUCCACACUGUUGGGAGGGUGACCCAAGAGGAAAACCCUGCCGUUACCGACACCACGGUGCCCGGCCCCCACAGGGCUGGACGUGGGCAAGAAAGUAACCAAAGUUUCUGAGGUUGUUUUGCAGAACAACAGGAAGACGGCAGAUCAGAGAGCAGCUUGAUGGCAGCCCCCCCCCCCCCCCCCCGCCCCGCCCGAGCGGACAUCGUGCAGAGGCUUGGACCAGCUGAAAUGACGGAUCGCCCACUUUCCGCGUCACGGACAGAGAUCCUCGGCGUGCAACACGUCGAACCCCACUGACUUCGCACUUGUGACCCACGAAGAAAUACCAGUGACAGUCGCACCUGAGCAGAGGACUCUUCAAGCUUCACCCCCAGCGCUCUCCUGGUCCCACCCCUACCCCGAACCCCAGAUAAACGUCCCAACGUUUUGUUUUCCCUUUGAGGAGGCGGGUUUGAGUUUUACUCCCACCUCCUUGUCUGGCCGCCUCUUGAUCAUAAACCUCUUUCCUUGCUGCAACCCUGACGUCUCACUGAUUGGCUUGGCUGCGAAAUCGGGUACCCGGACCUGAGUUUGUGUGUGGUCCCAUCGCUUCCCUGCUUGAAAGGAAUCCAGGGUUCUCCACUGCCUGCAGGCCAAACUGGAGCAGAAUCUCCAAGGCCUCGCCCCUGCAGCCUUCCUCCCUGCUCCUCACCCACACGCGGGCCACCCUCCCGCCACGCGCGACUCUCUGCAGACCCCAAACAGGUUCUGACUCAAAGGACUUCAAGCUCAUCGAGCCUAAUCGUAGCAGGGUAAUUCCUUCAAUCCAGUGCACACCGAAAGUCUUUAAUUUUCCUCUGCCUG
rnacentral:lncRNA from 1 species